rnacentral:rRNA from 1 species
GUACCUUUUGUAUAAUGGGUCAGCGACUUAUAUUCAGUAGCAAGGUUAACCGUAUAGGGGAGCCGUAGAGAAAUCGAGUCUUAAUAGGGCGUUUAGUUGCUGGGUAUAGACCCGAAACCAGGCGAUCUAUCCAUGAGCAGGUUGAAGGUUGGGUAACACUAACUGGAGGACCGAACCCACUGUCGUUGAAAAGCCAGGGGAUGACUUGUGGAUAGGGGUGAAAGGCUAAUCAAGCCUGGUGAUAGCUGGUUCUCCCCGAAAGCUAUUUAGGUAGCGCCUCGGACGAAUACCAUAGGGGGUAGAGCACUGUUUCGGCUAGGGGGUCAUCCCGACUUACCAAACCGAUGCAAACUCCGAAUACCUAUGAGUACUAUCCGGGAGACAGACUGCGGGUGCUAACGUCCGUAGUCAAGAGGAAAACAAUCCAGACCGCCAGCUAAGGCCCCAAAAUCAUAGUUAAGUGGGAAACGAUGUGGGAAGGCAUAGACAGCUAGGAGGUUGGCUUAGAAGCAGCCACCCUUUAAAGAAAGCGUAAUAGCUCACUAGUCGAGUCGGCCUGCGCGGAAGAUGUAACGGGGCUAAAA